GACGAACGCUGGCGGCGUGCUUAACACAUGCAAGUCGAACGGAAAGGCCCUGCUUUUGUUGGGUGCUCGAGUGGCGAACGGGUGAGUAACACGUGUGUAACCUGCACUUGACUUUGUGAUAACUUCUGGAAACUGGGGCUAAUACCGGGUAGGAGCUCCUGCUGCAUGGUGGGGGUUGGAAAGUUUCGGCGGUUGUGGCUGGACUCGCGGCUUAUGAGCUGGUUGGUGGGGUAGUGGCUUACAAAGGUUUUGACGGGUAGGCGGCGUGAGAGGGUGACCGGCCACAAUGGGACUGCGAUACGGACCAGACUCCUACGGGAGGCAGCAGUGGGGAAUAUUGCACAAUGGGCGGACGCCUGAUGCAGCAACGCCGCGUGCGGGAUGACGGCCUUCGGGUUGUAAACCGCUUUCGCCUGUGACGAAGCGUGAGUGACGGUAAUGGGUAAAGAAGCACCGGCUAACUACGUG
rnacentral:rRNA from 1 species